rnacentral:rRNA from 1 species
AAUGGGGGAAACCCUGAUGCAGCGAUGCCGCGUGAGUGAAGAAGGCCCUUGGGUUGUAAAACUCUUUCGUCGGGGAAGAAGAUGACUGUACCCGAAUAAGAAGGUCCGGCUAACUUCGUGCCAGCAGCCGCGGUAAUACGAAGGGACCUAGCGUAGUUCGGAAUUACUGGGCUUAAAGAGCUCGUAGGUGGUUAAAAAAGUUGAUGUGAAAUCCCAAGGCUCAACCUUGGAACUGCCAUCAAAACUUUUUAGCUAGAGUGUGAUAGAGGUAAGUGGAAUUUCUAGUGUAGAGGUGAAAUUCGUAGAUAUUAGAAAGAACACCAAAUGCGAAGGCAACUUACUGGGUCACUACUGACACUGAGGAGCGAAAGCAUGGGUAGCGAAGAGGAUU